rnacentral:rRNA from 1 species
AUUCCCCUAGUAACGGCGAGUGAAGCGGGAAGAGCUCAAAUUUGUAAUCUGGCGGCUUAUGGUCGUCCGAGUUGUAGUCUGGAGAAGCGUUUUCCGCGUCGGACCGUGUACAAGUCCUUUGGAACAGGGCGUCGUAGAGGGUGAGAAUCCCGUCUUUGACACGGACUGCCGAUGCUUUGUGAUGCGCUCUCAAAGAGUCGAGUUGUUUGGGAAUGCAGCUCAAAACGGGUGGUAAAUUCCAUCUUUAAAAGCUWAAWAUUUUGGGGSRAAAGACCCGGAUAGCGRAACCAAGUWCCSYGRGRGGGAAAAGAUGAAAARGCCMCUUUGGAAARRGARGUUUUAAMCRGUMCGUGAAAAUUGUUGAAARGGGAAAACGUUUGAAGUCCAGUCGSGUYUCCYGGGGAUUCARCCCUUGCUUUUUGKGGCUUGGUGUUAUUUCCUGGGGSGGACGGGUCAGCGUUCGAUUUUGAACCGUCGGAAAAAAGGUUUGGGGAAAUGUGACACCUUUGGGGUGUGUUAUAGCCCUGGGUYGUUAUGCGACGAUUGGGAUCGAGGAUUGCAGCACGCCUUUUUGGCCGGGGUUCGCCUACGUAACGUGCUUAGGAUGCUGGCGUAAUGGCUUUAAGCGACCCGUCUUGAAACACGGACCAAGGAGUCUAACAUGCCUGCGAGUGUUUGGGUGGAAAACCCGGACGCGGAAUGAAAGUGAAAGGUUGGGACCUCCGUCGUGGGGGGCACCGACGCCCGGACCAGACCUUCUGUGACGGUUCCGAGGUAGAGCAUGCAUGCUGGGACCCGAAAGAUGGUGAACUAUGCCUGARUAGGGUGAAGCCAGAGGAAACUCUGGUGGAGGCUCGUAGCGAUUCUGACGUGCAAAUCGAUCGUCGAACUUGGGUAUAGGGGCGAAAGACUAAUCGAACCAUCUAGUARCUGGUUCCUGCCGAAGUUUCCCUCAGGAUAGCARAGACUCSCGUGYCARAUUUAUKKGGWAAASCGAAUGAUUAAGGGGCCUUGGGGUUGAAACAACCUUAACCCAUUUCUCAAACUUUAAAUAUGUAARARCCGASCCGUCGCYCGKUUGGACSGCUCSGCCRAAUGARARUUCCUYUAGUGGGCCAUUUUUUGGUAARCMRAACUUGGGCRAUSCGGGGAUGAACCGAUCGCCGNGAGGUUAAGGUGSCCGGGAAUAACCMCKCUYAUCARACMCCAMAAAAUKKGUGRRUUCAUCUWKWMAGCAGGACGGUGGCCAUGGAAGUCGGAAUCCGCUAAGGAGUGUGUAACAACUCACCUGCCGAAUGAACUUGCCAUGAAAAUGGAUGGCGCUCAAGCGUGUUACCCAUACCUCGCCGUCGGCGUUGAAGUGACGCGCCGACGAGUAGGCAGGCGUGAGGGUCCGUNAAGAAGCCUGGCAGCGAU